rnacentral:rRNA from 1 species
UUGAACGCUGGCGGCAUGCUUUACACAUGCAAGUCGAACGGUAACAGGUUAAGCUGACGAGUGGCGAACGGAUGAGUAAUGUAUCGGAACGUACCUCGUCGUGGGGGAUAACGCAGCGAAAGUUGUGCUAAUACCGCAUACGUCCUGAGGGAGAAAGCGGGGGACCCGUAAGGGCCUCGCGCGAUGAGAGCGGCCGAUAUCUGAUUAGCUAGUUGGUGGGGUAAAGGCUCACCAAGGCGACGAUCAGUAGCUGGUCUGAGAGGACGACCAGCCACACUGGGACUGAGACACGGCCCAGACUCCUACGGGAGGCAGCAGUGGGGAAUUUUGGACAAUGGGGGCAACCCUGAUCCAGCCAUUCCGCGUGAGUGAAGAAGGCCUUCGGGUUGUAAAGCUCUUUCGGUGGGAACGAAACGGUUCAAGCGAAUAACUUGAGCUAAUGACGGUACCCAAAGAAGAAGCACCGGCUAACUACGU